AUGCUCUGUUGCUCUUAUUGCUCCGAAAUCUAAAAGUUUUGGAAUCUGUGAGCUAGGAACUGUAGAAAAUAUGUUUGGGUCAUCUAAAUCACAAUAUUGCUAUUUGCAUGUAGUGGAGGUGAAUAAUGAAAAGGCCAUAAGAAAAUGAAGGAGGAAAAGAGCAAACAUAAAGGGAGGAAGAGAAAAAGCCAAGGAUGGAAUCACCGAGAAAGGAGGAAGAUGAACCUGAAUAAUCAUAACUGGUCUUGGGGUACCUGGGUGGCUCAGUCAUUUGAGCAUCCAACUCUUGAUUUCAGCUCGGGUCAUGAUUUUGAGGUUCAUGAUAUCGAACCCAGUGUUGGGCUCCUCACUUACAGCACAGAGCCUGCUUGGGAUUCUCUCUCCCUACCUCUUUCUCUGCCCCUCCCCUGCUCAUAUGCACGUGCUUUCUCUCUCGCUCUCAAAAUAAAUAAACAUUAAAAAACUUAAUCA